UCUUUUUGAGAGUUUGAUCCUGGCUCAGGAUGAACGUUGGCGGCGUGCCUUAAGCAUGCAAAUCAAGGGGCCCUGAGAGCAAUCGAAGGGAACCGGUGGACGGGUGAGUAACGCGUGAGAAUCUGCCUUAAAGUGGGAUAUAGCUUCGCGAAAGCGGGGGUAAUCUCCCAUGUGGUCGCAAGACUAAAGCCGUAAGGCGCUUUAAGAUGAGCUCGCGUCCUAUCAGCUAGUUGGUGGGGUAAUGGCCUACCAAGGCAACGACGGGUAGCUGGACUGAGAGGUCGGUCAGCCACAAUGGUACUGCGACACGGACCAUACACCUACGGGUGGCAGCAACUGGGAAUAUUCGACAAUGGGCGAAAGCCUGAUCGAGCGACGCCGCGUG
rnacentral:rRNA from 1 species